rnacentral:rRNA from 1 species
GACGAACGCUGGCGGCGUGCUUAACACAUGCAAGUCGAGCGGAAAGGCCACUGCGGUGGUACUCGAGCGGCGAACGGGUGAGUAACACGUGAGUAAUCUGCCCUUCACUUUGGGAUAACCCCCGGAAACGGGAGCUAAUACCGGAUACGACCGGCAACCGCAUGGUUUGUUGGUGGAAACUUUUUUGGGUGGGGGAUGUGCUCGCGGCCUAUCAGCUUGUUGGUGGGGUAAUGGCCUACCAAGGCUUUGACGGGUAGCCGGCCUGAGAGGGUGACCGGCCACACUGGGACUGUGACACGGCCCAGACUCCUACGGGAGGCAGCAGUGGGGAAUAUUGGACAAUGGGCGGAAGCCUGAUCCAGCAACGCCGCGUGAGGGAUGACGGCCUUCGGGUUGUAAACCUCUUUCAGCACCGACGAAGCGCAAGUGACGGUAGGUGCAGAAGAAGGACCGGCCAACUACGUGCCAGCCGCCGCAGUAAAAC